rnacentral:rRNA from 1 species
AGCGAACGCUGGCGGCAGGCUUAACACAUGCAAGUCGAGCGGGCACUUUCGGGUGUCCGCGGCGGACGGGUGAGUAGCGCGUGGGAACGUGCCCUCUGGUUCGGAAUAACUCAGGGAAACUUGAGCUAAUACCGGAUACGCCCUUUUGGGGAAAGGCUUGCUGCCGGAGGAUCGGCCCGCGUCUGAUUAGCUAGUUGGUGAGGUAACGGCUCACCAAGGCGACGAUCAGUGGCUGGUCUGAGAGGAUGAUCAGCCACACUGGGACUGAGACACGGCCCAGACUCCUACGGGAGGCAGCAGUGGGGAAUAUUGGACAAUGGGCGCAAGCCUGAUCCAGCCAUGCCGCGUGAGUGAUGAGGGCCUUAGGGUUGUAAAGCUCUUUUAUCCGGGACGAUAAUGACGGUACCGGAGGAAUAAGCCCCGGCUAACUUCGUG